GUUAAAGGAAGCCUUAACGUGGUUCUGGAAGGCUUUGGUUUCACAGACGUGUUUGAAGGGCAUCCUGGAGAUCCUUUGUGUGCCUACACUUUGAGGACCUCCUUGUUCAGCCGUCAAAGGCUCUAUGACACACAAGCUUCACGGAUUGAGUUUAUGAGUAAAUUAACCUCGCUCCUCCCUGAGGACAGCCCUGGAAAAGUGCAGGGGCUCCUGUCAGUCUGGAGUCAAGCAGGACAGGCUCAACUGGUCUAACAGCUGCAGAUUUGGGAGACAGCUGUGCUGAUGUUUGGGGUUCAGAUUUAAAGUGAACAGACAGGAUUUGCAGCCUUCCUCGGCGAAACCCUGCACACUGUGAGGUAAGGUGAGCAUGUUUUUGUUGGGAAAGGUCGUUUUAAAUACAAUCGUUUAUUUCCUGUAGUGCUUUCCCUCCUUAAGACACACAGGCACACGCGCACACACACACACACACACACUCAAUGCAAGCUUUUACACUUUGUUUAUAAAACACUUGCUGUUAUG
rnacentral:lncRNA from 1 species